UAGUCGGUCCCAAGGGUUGGGCUGUUCGCCCAUUAAAGCGGUACGCGAGCUGGGUUCAGAACGUCGUGAGACAGUUCGGUCCCUAUCCGUCGUGGGCGUAGGAAAUUUGAGAGGAGCUGUCCUUAGUACGAGAGGACCGGGAUGGACAUACCUCUGGUGUACCAGUUGUCGUGCCAACGGCAUAGCUGGGUAGCUAUGUGUGGACGGGAUAAGUGCUGAAAGCAUCUAAGCAUGAAGCCCCCCUCAAGAUGAGAUUUCCCAACUUCGGUUAUAAGAUCCCUCAAAGAUGAUGAGGUUAAUAGGUUCGAGGUGGAAGCAUGGUGACAUGUGGAGCUGACGAAUACUAAUCGAUCGAAGACUUAAUCAAAA
rnacentral:rRNA from 1 species